UUUGCAGUCGAUUUUCUCUGCAGGCGAGAGGGCAUUAUCUGGGAUGGUGCUCUUCCACGGUUCCGGCUGCAAGUAAGCUAUUGAUAAAGCUUAAGAUUCCCCCGAUCGCGGAGACGGCAGUGGAAAAUAGCCGUCGAAAAUGUGCAGCAUGGAAUUUGGCCGAUCUGAUAAAAUUGCUACAACAGGCGCAGACCGGAUUCCAAUCGAGAAGCAAAUUAAGCUUUCUUUAAAUUUAAAAAAAUAGUGAAAAUUGUGAUAAUGAAAGUGCUUAAAAACAUCAAUAAAAUGUAUUAUUUUGAA